rnacentral:rRNA from 1 species
GUUGAUAGGUCAGGGGUGUAAGCAUGGUAACAUGUUCAGCUGACUGAUACUAAUAGGUCGAGGGCUUGACCAAAUAA